rnacentral:rRNA from 1 species
UACGUAGGGGGCAAGCGUUGUCCGGAAUCAUUGGGCGUAAAGAGCGUGUAGGCGGCCCGAUAAGUCCGCUGUGAAAGUCCAGGGCUCAACCUCGAGAUGUCGGCGGAAACCACUUGGCUAGAGUCCGGAAGAGGAGAGUGGAAUUCCGUGGUGUAGCGGUGAAAUGCGCAGAUAUCAGGAAGAACACCUAUGGCGAAGGCAGCUCUCUGGGACGGUACUGACGCGAGACGCGAAAGCGUGGGGAGCGAACAGG